CUAUUGACCUCUACAAUAUAUAAUUAGGGUCAACUAUUUUUUUUUUUUCCGUAAAAGUUAUCACUUACAUUUUUUCCACUAAUAAUAACAAAAUACUAGCCUUAGAAUUCCAAAGGUCAUAUAGCCAACAAAAUAGAGUUAUCAAUAACAUUUUUUUUUUUUUUUGCUUUCCAUUAUUAUUGAUAGCUAAAAUAACUUAGAUACAUAAAAUUAUAGAAGUUAGAGAAAAGGACAAAUGAAAUAAUUUAGAAUGAAAUAAAUUUAAAAUAUCAUACCUUACCUUUAUUUAGGCUCUAUUUUAUAUAUAGCAUCAAAGGUGUGUAAUAUUUAUACAUGUAUAAAAAAAAAAAAUAGAGUACAAAAAGAUAACAAAGAAAACAAAUAUGUUGUUGAGAUAUUUACAUAGAGAAGAGAAAAGUAUGAAUACGUGACAUUAUAAAACGAUGAUGAAAAUAAUAAUUAAAAAAUGAAAUAAAUAUAAAAAAAAUUAGAAAAAAAAAAUAAUUAGAAAGACACCUCAUAUAAAAUGCUAUUUUUUUAGCAUAUAUGGUCAUCCAUGGCAAUUUGUUCCAUUCUUUUUAAUCAUCUUCUUAAAAUCAUUUUCCCUUUCCAUCCUCAUAUAUGUGUCAAAGUAUUUGUAUUUUUUAUAUCUUCAACUCAUCUAUAUAUUAUAUGUAAAUAUGAAGACCACUAAAAAAAGUACAUUUUGCGUCGGUCAACGGGACGGUCAACAGCAAGGACCGACGCAAAAAGUGGAAGCCAAGUUGUUGUGUCAGUUGGAAACCGACGCAAAAGAAUAGGAGUUUGCGUCGGUUACUUGUACGACGCUAAAAUUUAAACCGAUGACAAACUUUAAUUUUUUUUUAGAAAAAUAUUUUAUGCGUCAUCUACCAACCGACGCUAAUAAUUAUUGCGUUGGUUGGAAAUUGACGCAAAUACUAUUAGCGUUUAAUAAAAACAGUCGCUAAUUAAUUAGUUUUUUCACAAAAUCCCUAAUUCUAACUUAGACAUUUCAUUUUCAGAAAACCUAAUAUCUCAUUGCUCUCUUCUCUCUCGCGCCCAAAACUCCAUGAUCCUCUCUUUGCCUCAAGCUCGAUGAACGAAGACUCUCUUGACUAGGCCAGCGGCGCACCACCGAAUCUUGAAGGCCAUUUCAACCUUCUCCACUCUAUUUCCCUCUCCGUUGGAUCUCUCUCCCCUUCGCCUUCUUCUUCGCAACUCGUUGCCCAAACAACCACCACCACCAGCCCGACGACCCAACAAUACCUCCUUGGUGUCCUCUUCGUUGCCGACCUCUGCUCCUCCAGAGGGCUCCAUGGACUUCUUUCCACUUGGCUCUUAUCACAACAAGGUGCUCUGCCUCUUCCCAUAUCUCUCUAAUAUAAUGUAAUAUAUAUAUAUAUAUAUGUAUGUAUAUGGGUAUAUGUAUAUGCCCAAGAGACUGUAAGAGUACGUAAAAGAAGAAAUUUUGUUUAUAUUUAUUCAUUCAUUCAUGAUCAAUAUAUAUGUGAGAGUGAAUCUCUAUUUUUA